ensembl:piRNA 21ur-1536 ncRNA
ACCAAAGAGUCAAAAGAAUGU